UGUGGGAGCGGGCUUGCUCGCGAAUGCAGCACCUCGGUGACUCAGACAUACCGAGUUGAUUGCAUCGCGAGCAAGCCCGCUCCCACA
rnacentral:misc_RNA from 1 species